UGGGGAAUUUUGCACAAUGGGGGAAACCCUGAUGCAGCGACGCCGCGUGAUUUAGAAGGCCUUCGGGUUGUAAAAAUCUUUUCUAUGGGAAGAAAAUGACAGUACCAUAGGAAUAAGGACCGGCUAAUUACGUGCCAGCAGCCGCGGUAAUACGUAAGGUCCGAGCGUUGUCCGGAAUCAUUGGGCGUAAAGGGUACGUAGGCGGGUAAGCAAGUUAGAAGUGAAAUCCUGUAGCUCAACUAUAGUAAGCUUUUAAAACUGCUCAUCUUGAGGUAUGGAAGGGAAAGUGGAAUUCCUAGUGUAGCGGUGAAAUGCGCAGAUAUUAGGAGGAAUACCGGUGGCGAAGGCGACUUUCUGGCCAUAUACUGACGCUGAGGUACGAAAGCGUGGGUAGCAAACAGG
rnacentral:rRNA from 1 species